CCUACGGGAGGCAGCAGUGAGGAAUAUUGGUCAAUGGGCUUACGCCUGAACCAGCCAAGUCGCGUGAGGGAAGACUGCCCUAUGGGUUGUAAACCUCUUUUGUCAGGGAGCAACGCCGGCUACGUGUAGCCGGACUGAGAGUACCUGAAGAAAAAGCAUCGGCUAACCCCGUGCCAGCAGCCGCGGUAAUAGGGAGGAUGCGAGCGUUAUCCGGAUUUAUUGGGUUUAAAGGGUGCGUAGGCGGAAUGCCAAGUCAGCGGGAAAAUCGCGGGGAUAAACCUCACACCGCAGUGGAAACUGGCGUUCUUGAGUGGGCGAGAAGUAUGCGGAAUGCGGGGUGUAGCGGUGAAAUGCAUAGAUAUCAUGAAGAACUCCGAUUGCGAAGGCAGCAUACCGGCGCCCAACUGACGCUGAAGCACGAAAGCGUGGGUAUCGAACAGGAUUAGAUACCCGAGUAGUC
rnacentral:rRNA from 1 species